CUAGACUCACCCAAGUGACUUUC
rnacentral:piRNA from 1 species